CCUUGAUGUUAAUUAAAACUCCUUUGCCAAACACUGAGAGGGAAGCAUGGGACUCCUGGAGAGGAGGUGCCUGCAGUAAUCUCCUCUAAGGCACCACCCACACAGCAUGUCUCUGCUCCUCUUUACCAGUCCAGCCAUGUAAGCUGCCAAGCUCACUUUCUCUGAUCCCCCAGAACUUGGGCUGCAGGAUGGAGAGUGGAUUUGGGGGUGGGAGGUGGGUGUACGUAAGUAGUGAGGUGACCAGCAAAGACACUGUUCCAGAUGGGCGAAGCUUGAACAUUGAAAUGUUGAUGGUCAAUUCAAGAAGGAAAGACUGAAUAAAUACCCUGGAGAGAGAAGAGAAUGAUCUAAGGGCAAGUUGCCAGCUACACACUGUGCUGUGUGUGCUUCCAGCACAUCUCCAAAGAAGGCUUUCAAAGUUGGACUUGCUGGUAUUUUGAAUUUGGAGAGAACCAUCCUCAAAUCACCGUGCUUUGACAUUUCCACCUCAUCACAUCUUUUAUUCUCGGAUCAUAAAGGCCCUGGUCUCAUUUUACAGAUGGAAGAAUUAAACAAGGUGACACAAGGAACACCAAAACAGUUCUAUAAUACCCCUGAGGAUGUUUAAAAUCAAGAGGGGUUUCAAAUUAGGGCAUACAAUGUCUUUUAUUGUUUCGC
rnacentral:lncRNA from 1 species